AUUGAACGCUGGCGGAAUGCUUUACACAUGCAAGUCGAACGGCAGCACGGGGGCAACCCUGGUGGCGAGUGGCGAACGGGUGAGUAAUACAUCGGAACGUGCCCAGUCGUGGGGGAUAACGUAGCGAAAGUUACGCUAAUACCGCAUACGAUCUACGGAUGAAAGCGGGGGACCGUAAGGCCUCGCGCGAUUGGAGCGGCCGAUGUCAGAUUAGGUAGUUGGUGAGGUAAAGGCUCACCAAGCCGACGAUCUGUAUCUGGUCUGAGAGGACGACCAGCCACACUGGGAGUGAGACACGGCCCAGACUCCUACGGGAGGCAGCAGUGGGGCAUUUUGGACAAUGGGCGCAAGCCUGAUCCAGCCAUUCCGCGUGCAGGACGAAGGCCUUCGGGUUGUAAACUGCUUUUGUACGGAACGAAAAGGCUCUGGUUAAUACCUGGGGCUCAUGACGGUACCGUAAGAAUAAGCACCGGCUAACUACGUGCCAGCCGCCGCAGUAA
rnacentral:rRNA from 1 species